GUAGAAGUACACUUAUAUUUCAGUAUUCAAUGAUACUCUGUUCAUGGUGACGAAAUUCACACUAGUAAUCAAUGCUGGAAAUUCCUUAGAGUCAGUCCAACACAUGCUAUUGUAUUUAAUAAUUGGAUUGUGUAUUCAAGGUCAUGCGCUCUUCAUCAUAUGCAGAUACUUACAGAGAAAUUAAACCACCACAAUAAUAUAACUACAAUAUUGUAUGUUUUUCCUGGGGCACAUGGAGCAAAAUGAGAAAAAACAAUCAUAUGGCUCUCAAAUGGAUUUUCCUUCACACGCAGUCAAAAUAUGUCACCGCUCAUUUUUGUGCAAGUUUUUCAAGUUCUGAAGAUUAUGAGUUGAGAAGAAAUGACAGCAGUGGCCUUGGAAAUUGGUUGGAAGACAUGCAAAGAUGUGGUGAUGAUGUAAAUGAAGGCAAGCUUUCUCAUGCAUAAAGAGUUUCUGUCAAUGGGGAUCUCUUAACAGAGUUGCAGGCUCCCCAAGGUUCACCAAAAGAAGAAAACAGCACAGAAAGAUAAAGAAGAAAGGAAGGAUGGAUGCUCCUGCAACCUGAAGACUGGACCAAGAGGCAGCAGAUCUGGAGUGAGCUUUCAUAUUUGCCACAGAGCUCUUAUGUAAGUUUGGAAUGGUCUCUUAGAUGCUGAGCCAGUAAUAUUAACUCAGCACAUCCCACUGACUUCAGUUUCUGGCAAGACUUGAAUCACACAUGACAUCCUAAACUACCAAAUUUUUUCCUGUUACUCUAGCCACGCUACAUAGAAUAAAGCUUUCUUUUACCUAAGAUAA
rnacentral:lncRNA from 1 species